AGUGAACGCUGGCGGUAGGCCUAACACAUGCAAGUCGAACGGCAGCACAGUAAGAGCUUGCUCUUACGGGUGGCGAGUGGCGGACGGGUGAGGAAUACAUCGGAAUCUACUUUUUCGUGGGGGAUAACGUAGGGAAACUUACGCUAAUACCGCAUACGACCUACGGGUGAGAGCAGGGGAUCUUCGGACCUUGCGCGAUUGAAUGAGCCGAUGUCGGAUUAGCUAGUUGGCGGGGUAAAGGCCCACCAAGGCGACGAUCCGUAGCUGGUCUGAGAGGAUGAUCAGCCACACUGGAACUGAGACACGGUCCAGACUCCUACGGGAGGCGGCAGUGGGGAAUAUUGGACAAUGGGCGCAAGCCUGAUCCAGCCAUACCGCGUGGGUGAAGAAGGCCUUCGGGUUGUAAAGCCCUUUUGUUGGGAAAGAAAAGCAGCAGGUUAAUACCCCGCUGUUCUGACGGUACCCAAAGAAUAAGCACCGGCUAACUUCGUG
rnacentral:rRNA from 1 species